rnacentral:rRNA from 1 species
GACGAACGCUGGCGGCGUGCUCAACACAUGCAAGUCGAACGGAAAGGCCCUGCUUUUGUGGGGUGCUCGAGUGGCGAACGCGUGAGUAACACGUGAGUAACCUGCCCUUGACUUUGGGAUAACUUCAUGAAACUGGGGCUAAUACCGGAUAGGAGCUCCUGCUGCAUGGUGGUGGUUGGAAAGUUUCGGCGGUUGGGGAUGGACUCGCGGCUUCUCAGCUUGUUGGUGGGGUAGUGGCUUACCAAGGCUUUGACGGGUAGCCGGCCUGAGAGGGUGACCGGCGACAUUGGGACUGAGAUACGGCCCAGACUCCUACGGGAGGCAGCAGUGGGGAAUAUUGCACAAUGGGCGGAAGCCUGAUGCAGCAACGCCGCGUGCGGGAUGACGGCCUUCGGGUUGUAAACCGCUUUCGCAUGUGACGAAGCGUGAGUGACGGUAAUGGGUAAAGAAGCACCGGCUAACUACGUG